GCCGCCAUCUAGUGGCUAUGGGACGCUGGAUGGCCUCCUUCUCCCGCACCUGGACGUAAUUAUCCUUGAUGAUCGUCCCUACAUCAGCCGGCGCCAGUUCGUCGCUACGUCUUUACAUAUUCUCCGGUCACCGAACCCCUGCCUGCCUGACUCUCCUGCCGGUUCCUGAUCCCUGCCUGUCUGACUCUCCUUCUGGUUCCUGAUCCUCGCCUGUCUGACUCUCCUGCCGGUUCCUGAUCCCUGCCUGUCUGACUCUCCUCCUGGUACCUGAUCCUCGCCUGUCUGACACUCCUGCCGGUUCCUGAUCCCCGCCUGUCUGACUACCCCGCUGGUUCCUGAUCCCUGCUUGUCUGACUACUCGCCUGUCUACGGAAUAAACCCCUUUCCUUUAUUCCGUCUCCCUGUGUCCAGCAUUUGGGUCCCCUCGUCUGUUCCGU
rnacentral:lncRNA from 1 species